rnacentral:rRNA from 1 species
GAUGAACACUGGCGGCGUGCUUAACACAUGCAAGUCGAACGGGAAUUAUUUUAUUGAAACUUCGGUCGAUUUAAUUUAAUUCUAGUGGCGGACGGGUGAGUAACGCGUGGGUAACCUGCCUUAUACAGGGGGAUAACAGUCAGAAAUGGCUGCUAAUACCGCAUAAGCGCACAGAGCUGCAUGGCUCAGUGUGAAAAACUCCGGUGGUAUAAGAUGGACCCGCGUUGGAUUAGCUGGUUGGUGGGGUAACGGCCCACCAAGGCGACGAUCCAUAGCCGGCCUGAGAGGGUGAACGGCCACAUUGGGACUGAGACACGGACCAGACUCCUACGGGAGGCAGCAGUGGGGAAUAUUGCACAAUGGGGGAAAACCUGAUGCAGCGACGCCGCGUGAAGGAAGAAGUAUCUCGGUAUGUAAACUUCUAUCAGCAGGGAAGAUAGUGACGGUACCUGACGAAGAAGCCCCGGCUAACUACGUG